GGUACCUCUAAUUUCCAUGCGGUCACCUUUAGUCAAGAUGGCGGUUUAAGUAUUCUUUUUUUAACUUUAGCAAAAUGGCAACCAGUCAAGUCAUGUGACCAGUUGGCCAUGUGCUGGCUAAACCAGGAAACAGAACAUUUUAAAACAAGUAUACAUAAAUUACUUGAGAAAUAAACAGGACUUUUUUAAAAACAAAAUCAGCUUAAUAUGAUUAAAAUUUUAACUUAUAUUAUUAUUUUUAAAAAUUUAUUAUUUGUAGACAUGAGAAACCAUAGCACAGUUUACAUUUUUUUUUAACUUGUAACAACCUUUUCUCUGACCUUCGACAACUUUCCUCUGACCUUCUACAACUUACUUUAUCCCUCUAUAACUUUCUGUAACAAUCUUUUUCUCUGACCUCCAACUUUUCUCUGACCUUUUACAACUUGCUUUAACCCUCUAUAACUUUUACCGCUUGCUUUAACUCUCUAUAACCUUUUAGUUUAUUUCUCUGACUUUCUUAGACAUUCUUAGACAAAUUUUCUUUUUUCCUUUCCCUCUUUAUUAUUUAAGUCUCCUACAUUUUUUUUUUAAUUUCUCAGUCAACAUAAAAAUUUUGUCAAAGUCCCUUUUACAAUUCUUAAUAACUUUAAGGCCCUUUUUUUUUUUUUUUUUUUUGAAUAUCCGGAUCAGGACAGAUGGUUCACCUGCCUGAGCUAGCUCCAUGUGCUCAAGGCAGAGAGACCUGGGGUGGGGGUGCUGCUGGUAACCCCAGACCCUUGGCCAAUCCAGGGGUGGGAAAAAGACUCCUGCGGCCCCCCUGCAUACCAUGUGUGUGGAGCACAGAAAGACGGGUAGCAGAUGGCGGCCUUGUAGCCAUGUUCCCUCAGAGCAGGGAAACAGCCACAACGGCAGCUGGGGCAGAAACAGCCCUACUGGGCAUGCCUCAGACCCGCAGGUGGGGAUAGAAAGGGGGUGGCGUGGUGGAUCCUGAAUUGAAAACCAAUGAUGAUAACACAGAAUAGACAGGAAAGAACAGACGCCAAACCAGUCCGCCCACGCUGCUCAUAAGGCAAUGGCGCCGGGAAGACGGCGGCAGAACUCGGCGGCUAACUGAGGCGGGUCCAAGUGUCCUUGGCCCGAGUCCGUACCUCCUGGGUCCUGGGUGUCCUCAGAGUGGCAGUCUGUCCUCCGGGUGCAUCUGCCGAUCAUAGUUGAGGUGGCGCCACGUGCUCAGAGAAUCAAGAAAAGACCCCUGACCCCCUGACCCAUGCAUGC
rnacentral:lncRNA from 1 species